CUGUCGCGAGUGCCGAGGAGGAGGAGGAGACACCCAAAACUUCGGUUGCUUCAGAACCACCUGAGUCGAGGAAGAGCUGGAAUCUCUGAAGCGCUUCUUAGAAUUCUCCACCCUGAGCAAGGUUGCCUCUGCCCUGAGAGCUAGGUUGUAGAACUUGUCGAACUCCUCAGGAUCGUGCAAAGCAAGAGCUAACUGCAAAUCUUCUUUCAAGCCACCUCUGAACUGAUAAAUCUUGCUCUUUUGAUCAGGGAUAUCCUGCAACGCGUAUCGGGCUAGCUC
rnacentral:lncRNA from 1 species